CCCAACCACCAUACUCACCUUUUACUAGAUCGCCUGGACUCGAAAGAAAGACAUCAUCCAUCUUCACCUUUACAAAACCCUUUCACUGUCGAAUCCCGCCACCAAGCUUCCUAUUCUCUAUUUCGUCCAUGAUGAUUGAAUUUGCAACAAGACUACUAAUAUGACCUAAUCAUCCAAACAAGACCACCAUCACUAAAGUUAAUUCAUGGACUCACCAACAAAUUGAUUCAUCAGAGUCUGCUCCCUCAUUGGUGUAGCCC
rnacentral:lncRNA from 1 species